rnacentral:rRNA from 2 species
AGUGAGCGGGAUGAGCUCAAAUUUAAAAUCUGGCUGGUUUACUAGUCCGAAUUGUAGUUUAUAGAAGCGUUUUCGGUGGCAGCCUGGGUAUAAAUCCUUUGGAAUAGGGUAUCAUAGAGGGUGAGAAUCCCGUCUUUGACUCAGUGCAUGCUACUAUGUGAUACGUUUUCAAAGAGUCGAGUUGUUUGGGAAUGCAGCUCAAAAUGGGUGGUAAAUUUCAUCUAAAGCUAAAUAUUGGCGAGAGACCGAUAGCGAACAAGUACCGUGAGGGAAAGAUGAAAAGAACUUUGAAAAGAGAGUUAAACAGUGCGUGAAAUUGUUGAAAGGGAAACGUUUGACACCAGUUAUGCGGGUGGAAAAUCAGUCUUUUGCAAUGGGGAGUUGUGGGCGUUCAGACCGCAAGGCUGGCGUUUGCUUCAUCUUUGUUGUAAGUGAUGCACUUUUUCAUUUGCAGGUCAACAUCAGUUUGCUUUGCUGGACAAAACCCCAAGGGAAGGUGACAGCUUAGGCUGUGUUAUAGCCCUGGGGCGAUACAGUGGAGUGGACUGAGGUUUCACAGUGUGUGCUCUCGGGCAAGGCUGACUGGGUGCUAUGGGAUCGUUCGGCGUACAAUGCAUGCAUUUUGCGUCGUGUCU